GGGCGGGCAGCUUGAGCUGCUCAGGAAGUAGCUGCUGCCCCCGAAGUGUGCGAGUUCUCCCGAAGAAACGGCCGCCACCGCAGCGAUUUUGCAAGCCCUGCAGUGUACCCCCUGGCCUUAGUGAUGGCUCAUGAAGAAAUGGAGUAUAGUCUUGAGAUGCAGUUAGAGCAUCUUGCUGCAGAACAGCCCGCCCCUGCCGAAGUGGCCGGCAGCCAGGAGGGACCGUCCCCGCUCCGGCCUCUACCUGCCGAAGUGGCCGGCAACCACGGGGGGCCGCCCCCGCUCCAGCCUGCUCCGCGGGUGUCUGCUGACCCGACGGAGGAAGUGGAGCGGUUGGGAGAAGAUGGUGCGGAGGACGUUCAUCCGGGAGCUUCGGCGGAGCGCGGGCAGGGACCUGGUGUUAACCGCCCCGUGCAAGUGUCGUCACUGGAGUCGAUGAACAGCUUCCUCAGCGGGCUGCAGAGGCUUCACGGCAUGCUGGAGUUCCUGAGGCCCCCUUCAGACAACAGCGUGGGGCCAGUGAGGGCCAGGAGGACGAGGGGGUCUGCCUCCCGCAGGUCAAGACCCGGAGCGUCUCAGAGGACUGACCGUGCCAGGUCCAGAGCACCAUUGGAUGCUUACUUUCAAGUGAGCCGGACCCAGCCUCAGUUGCCAACCACGUCUCAUGGUUCAGAGACCAGGAAUCCUGUCUCUGAGGACUUGCAGGUCUCCAGUAGUUCUGAUUCCGACAGCUCCACAGAGUAUGAGGAGGUUGUUGUCCAGGGAGAGGAACCUAGAGCCGUUGUUAUAGAAGACCAAGUUGGAGGUAUCUCAGCAGAACAAGAAGUUACAAGUAUCCGUGAAGGAGAGACCCUUCCCAAACAGUCUCCCCAGAAGACCAGUCCUCUUCCAUCUUCUGUUCCUAUGGAUGAUGAAGAAGGGGACACUUGCACGAUAUGUUUGGAACUUUGGACCAAUGCUGGGGAUCACCGACUCUCAGCGUUACGCUGUGGGCACCUCUUUGGGUAUAAGUGCAUUUCUAAGUGGCUCAAGGGACAGACACGAAAAUGUCCUCAGUGCAACAAGAAAGCCAAGCACAGUGACAUCGUGGUUCUUUAUGCCCGAACCCUGAGAGCUCUGGACACUAGUGAACAUGAGCAAAUGAAAAGUUCCUUACUAAAGGAGCAGGUGCUAAGGAAGCAGGCCGAGUUAGAAUCGGCACAGUGCCGGCUCCAACUUCAAGUCCUCACUGAUGAGUGCGCUAAGCUUCAUAGUCGUGUCCAGGAUUUGCAAAAACUUCUUGUGCAGCAUCGGGAUCAGAUUUCACAGCAACCCGGGGGCUCCCAGGCACGUUUCCUGAGCUGCCUGCCCUCCACCCAGGGCCAGCACAAGUACCGUUUCCAGAAGACCUUCACGGUGUCUCAGACAGGAAACUGCCGAAUCAUGACAUACUGUGACACUCUGAGCUGCCUGGUGGUGUCACAGCCUUCUCCUCAGUCCUCCUUCCUGCCAGGCUUUGGUGUUAAGAUGUUGAGUACUGCCAACAUGCAAAGCAGUCAGUACAUUCCCAUGCAUAGCAAACAGAUCCGUGGACUGGCUUUCAGCAGUCAGCCCAAAGGCCUACUGCUCUCUGCUUCCCUAGACAGCACUAUUAAACUGACCAGCCUGGAGACAAAUACAGUGGUCCAGACUUACAACGCUGGACGUCCUGUCUGGAGCUGCUGCUGGUGUCUUGAUGAAAGUAAUCACAUCUAUGCUGGACUGGUCAAUGGUUCAAUUCUGGUGUAUGACCUUCGAAACACGAGCUGUCACAUCCAGGAGUUAGUACCCCAGAAAGCCAGAUGCCCCCUGGUAUCCCUGUCAUACAUACCCAGAGCUGCCUCGGCUGCAUUUCCUUAUGGUGGUGUGUUGGCUGGAACCUUAGAGAACGCUUCCUUCUGGGAGCUAAAGAUGGGCUUUUCUCAUUGUCCUCAUGUGCUGCCCAUAGAGCCAGGGGGUUGCGUAGACUUUCAGACGGAGAGCAGCACCCGGCAUUGUCUUGUGACCUACAGGCCUGCUACUCUUGAUGAUCUAAUAAACUGUGGCUCUUCCACUCAGUAGUUUGUAAUCGUGUGAGGUUCAGGAUCUUCAUUAAUUUCCUGGGAUCAUCCCCACGGAGCAACACUGACUCCUCUGUCCCGUAGAUAAAAAUCACAGCACUUUACGAAGUGUGCUGAUGGAGAUGUCCUCCACGCUGGACGAUGCUGGAGAGCUGGUCUGUUCCUGCCAUCCUGUGCAAACAUUCCUUGGGGGACCCACUUGCAAACUACUGACCAAAAGUGCCAUUUUCCAAAACCCGGAGAGUGAUGGCAGCAUCCUGGUGUGUACUGGGGAUGAAGCAUCAAAUUCUGCCCUGCUGUGGGAUGCUGGCAGUGGCUCGUUGCUACAGGAACUGCAGGCCGAUCAGCCCGUCUUGGACAUCUGCCCUUUUGAGGUGAACCACAACAGCUACUUGGCUACCUUAACAGAGAAGAUGGUCCACAUGUAUCGGUGGGAGUGACUGUCUGGAACUUGUCAGGCAUGCUGCUGGUGAAUGUUAAAUGUUUGCUAGCACGUAACAGCCCUGAGCAAGAUCUCUGCUUACUGUCUGUGGCCUAGAACUUCUGGGAUCAUGGUUCCUUUGAAUUAAUGUGAUUCUAAGAGGCCAGGUCACUGAAACACUACAGACUGUGUAUUCGCGGUGUCCAUCCAAAGAAUACGUGAUUGGUACUGCAUCUACGUUAUCAUUGUCUUGGGCUCAAAGCCUUCAUGAAUAUGUUGAGAAUCUGUAUUUCUGAUCAGACAUUCUACUGGACCUCAGAGAGUAUCCUCCCAGCAGUCAUUUAGAACGAGUGUGCAGCAAGCAUUUUCUGUAGGGUGUGACACCCACCUAAGUGGUCUUGUCACUCGAACUCAGGAACGGAUGCUAACGUCCCAGAGGAGACUGACCAUCUCCAUGUUGCGUGGAUGCAGAAGAGUCUUCAGUUGAACACAAGAGGGCACUGUACGACCUGGUGAAGAAUUUGAUCCGUUUCUGACCUGGCGUGUUGACAGCCUUUCAGCAACUUGGUCUCAUCCCCACAGAAGUGUGAGGUCGAGCGCAUCUGGUCUACUUUGUGGCAGCAACAGAUACAUUCCAGGUGUGCGCUGCUGGGAUAUUGGCAGGCCCAGUGAUGGAGGCAGCUGAUGCGCUGUGGACCCUCUCGGAAUGCUGAGUACAUUAGGUUCAUCACAUCGUGGGAGCCGAGAGAAGAGACCGGUUGUUGGAGUAGUGGGGAAGCCUCCUUUUUUCUUGCUGUCUGAGGACCUCCGGAUUGAUUUUACAUAAACCAGUGCUCUGAAGACCCCUCCUUUUCCCUCUUACUAGGAAAACAUGAGCAACACGUCACAGCUCUUGUUUGAUUCUCUCCCCGUAAAAGAGGUCAAGGGAGAGGGGCUAAGCAAGACAGGCUUGCAGAAGAGAAGCUGCUGAGACCACUGCUGGGAACAGAAGCUAAAGCCUUCCACAUGUGAAACUGGUGUGUGACUUCAGCUUCCUCUGAUAUGCCUCCCUUCUAGCCUUUUUAAAGACUCUUGUCAGUGAAAUAUUCUCAGGAAGAUAAGAGUGGUUGGAGACCUGUGCGGAUUGCAGGGAGAAGCCCAUCAGCUUUUGUUCCAGCCGUGGAUUGUCCAACAUUGCGAACUUCACUUUUCUCCAGUAGGGGGAAAGGCUUCCGUUUGUAUCUGUUUGCCUCGCCUAUGGCUGCUCUGCUAAACCGCAGUCUACAACAGAACGCGCCUCAGGGUGUGGGCGGUCAGUGCCCCGUUCUUGGAAGCAGGAUGGCCAACAGUGUGACUUGUUUAAAUAAUUGCUCUAGAAGCGUUAUCAUUUUUAUUUUAAAAUAGUUCUGACCGACAACUCCUGAGCGGUUUCCAGCAUUUCUCACCAGCAGAGGGUUAUUGCCACAGAUAUCCCCAGAGUUUCAGGUUCCUGUUGUGCCUUCUAAAGAGUGGCCUCCUUCUGUUUUAGGACAUCUUUCAAAAAGCCAGUUUCCAGAGCCGGGGAAAGAGCCCCCUUUUCUCAGAGGAGAUACUCCUGUCAAUAUGUUGAUGAUUCAGAAUGACGGCCCAGACCUAGAGAGCAUCAGUGGCAGAAAGGGAUUUGGAUUAAAAAGCAGGACUCAUCUGGUUUCAGCAGGUCAUCAGAGAGGAUGCAGUUGGCCCUGGCUGCCUUUGUCUUUGGCAGAGACAAAUCCCACGGUAGGGUUAGGAUUUGAUCAAGGCGGAUGCUGAUUGAUUCCGCCACGCAGAGGAACCAAGGGACUUAACUGCGAGGGAAGUUGGGUGAAUCUCAUGUCUUGCCAAUUCUUGCAUUCCUCCAGUAAAUUUGGACAUUUUAGAGAGAAAUUUAUGUAACUUCAACUGGUUUCUUUAAAAGAAAAGACCUUGCCCCCAGCCAUCCUACCCUUGCAUCCCUCAUCCAGCAGGAGACCAUGUAGUCCCAGGCUCUGGUCUCCUGUGCUGCAGCAGGCUCUGCCCCGACAUGUUCCCUCCCCCCUGUCUCUAAGGGAGGUCUCCCAUAUGAGGGUUUGGAGUUAAGCAGACUCCAAAUAUCUUAUUGGCAUAUAUCCUUGUACCUGCUGUGACAAACAGGGCAGUGGGAUCUCUGUUCAUGUUCUGUGUUUUAAUGUUUGUGCUUUAUGUUUUAAUGUUAAUAUGAAAAUAAAGCAUUUGCUAUGUGUACCAA